rnacentral:rRNA from 1 species
GAUGAACGCUGGCGGCGUGCUUAACACAUGCAAGUCGAACGAAGCACUUAAGUUUGAUUCUUCGGAUGAAGACUUUUGUGACUGAGUGGCGGACGGGUGAGUAACGCGUGGGUAACCUGCCUCAUACAGGGGGAUAACAGUUAGAAAUGACUGCUAAUACCGCAUAAGACCACGGCACCGCAUGGUGCAGGGGUAAAAACUCCGGUGGUAUGGGAUGGACCCGCGUCUGAUUAGCUGGUUGGUGGGGUAACGGCCUACCAAGGCGACGAUCAGUAGCCGACCUGAGAGGGUGACCGGCCACAUUGGGACUGAGACACGGCCCAAACUCCUACGGGAGGCAGCAGUGGGGAAUAUUGCACAAUGGGGGAAACCCUGAUGCAGCGACGCCGCGUGAAGGAUGAAGUAUUUCGGUAUGUAAACUUCUAUCAGCAGGGAAGAAAAUGACGGUACCUGACUAAGAAGCCCCGGCUAACUACGUGCCAGCAGCCGCGGUAA